rnacentral:rRNA from 1 species
UUGAACGCUGGCGGCAUGCCUAACACAUGCAAGUCGAACGAGAAUAAGGGGCAACCCUUGUUCUAGUGGCGGACGGGUGCGGAAUGCGUAGGAAUCUACCUUAAAGUGGGGGAUAACUUGGGGAAACUCAAGCUAAUACCGCAUAUGCUCUACGGAGUAAAGGGGGCGCAAGCUCUCGCUAUAAGAUGAGCCUACGUCGGAUUAGCUAGUUGGUGGGGUAAAGGCCUACCAAGGCAAUGAUCCGUAGCUGGUCUGAGAGGAUGACCAGCCACACUGGGACUGAGAUACGGCCCAGACUCCUACGGGAGGCAGCAGUGGGGAAUAUUGGACAAUGGGGGAAACCCUGAUCCAGCAAUGCCGCGUGUGUGAAGAAGGCCUUCGGGUUGUAAAGCACUUUCAAUGGGGAGGAAAAAUUUGGGGCUAAUACCUCCAGAUCUUGACGUUACCUAUAGAAGAAGCACCGGCUAACUCUGU